rnacentral:rRNA from 1 species
GACGAACGCUGGCGGCGUGCUUAACACAUGCAAGUCGAACGGAAAGGCCCUGCUUUUGUGGGGUGCUCGAGUGGCGAACGGGUGAGUAACACGUGAGUAACCUGCCCUUGACUUUGGGAUAACUUCAGGAAACUGGGGCUAAUACCGGAUAGGAGCUCCUGCUGCAUGGUGGGGGUUGGAAAGUUUCGGCGGUUGGGGAUGGACUCGCGGCUUAUCAGCUUGGUGGUGGGGUAGUGGCUUACCAAGGCUUUGACGGGUAACCGGCCUGAGAGGGUGACCGGCCACAUUGGGACUGAGAUACGGCCCAGACUCCUACGGGAGGCAGCAGUGGGGAAUAUUGCACAAUGGGCGGAAGCCUGAUGCAGCAACGCCGCGUGCGGGAUGACGGCCUUCGGGUUGUAAACCGCUUUCGCCUGUGACGAAGCGUGAGUGACGGUAAUGGGUAAAGAAGCACCGGCUAACUACGU